AGGUUACCCGCGACAAGACGGAAAGACCCCAUGGAGCUUUACUGCAGCUUGAUAUUGAAUUUGGGUACGAUCUGUACAGGAUAGGUGGGAGCCGUUGAAUCUUGAGCGCCAGCUUGAGAGGAGGCAUCCUUGGGAUACCACCCUGAUCGUAUCUAGGUUCUAACUUGGUACCGUAAUCCGGUACGAGGACAGUGUCAGGUGGGCAGUUUGACUGGGGC
rnacentral:rRNA from 1 species